rnacentral:rRNA from 1 species
AGUGAACGCUUUCUUUCUUCCUAACACAUGCAAGUCGAACGGCAGCACAGUAAGAGCUUGCUCUUACGGGUGGCGAGUGGCGGACGGGUGAGGAAUACAUCGGAAUCUACUUUUUCGUGGGGGAUAACGUAGGGAAACUUACGCUAAUACCGCAUACGACCUACGGGUGAAAGCAGGGGAUCUUCGGACCUUGCGCGAUUGAAUGAGCCGAUGUCGGAUUAGCUAGUUGGCGGGGUAAAGGCCCACCAAGGCGACGAUCCGUAGCUGGUCUGAGAGGAUGAUAAGCCACACUGGAACUGAGACACGGUCCAGACUCCUACGGGAGGCAGCAGUGGGGAAUAUUGGACAAUGGGCGCAAGCCUGAUCCAGCCAUACCGCGUGGGUGAAGAAGGCCUUCGGGUUGUAAAGCAAUUUUGUUGGGAAAGAAAAGCAGCAGGUUAAUACCCCGCUGUUCUGACGGUACCCAAAGAAUAAGCACAGGCUAACUUCGUG